UACGUAGGGUGCGAGCGUUAAUCGGAAUUACUGGGCGUAAAGCGUGCGCAGGCGGUGCGUUGUGUCGGUGGUGAAAUCCCCGGGCUUAACCUGGGAACUGCCAUCGAAACUGGCGUACUAGAGUGUGGCAGAGGGGGGUGGAAUUCCGCGUGUAGCAGUGAAAUGCGUAGAUAUGCGGAGGAACACCGAUGGCGAAGGCAGCCCCCUGGGCUAACACUGACGCUCAGGCACGAAAGCGUGGGGAGCAAACAGGAUUAGAUACCCUGGUAGUCCACGCCCUAAACGAUGUCGACUGGGUGUUGGGGAAGCGAUUCCCCAGUACCGUAGCUAACGCGUGAAGUCGACCGCCUGGGGAGUACGGCCGCAAGGUUAAA
rnacentral:rRNA from 1 species